UAAACUUGAUCAAAGUUUAUUAUUGAGCAAGGAAACAUUUACGUCUGGUCCAGUGUUUCUUUAAAGUAUCAACGAAAAUAAUAAUUAGUAUUUUUCAUGAAGAUAAUUAUGACGUAGAACCCAACACAUGAGGACGUAGAAACCAACGACGUAGAACCCAAAACAUGAGGAUGUAGAACACAACGACGUAGAACACAACACAUAAGGACGUAGAACACAUGAGAACGUAGAACCCAACACACAAGGACGUAGAACACAACGACGUAGAACCCAACACGCGGACGUAGGAACCCAACACAUGAGGACGUAGAACACAACGACGUAGAACCCAACCUGUCUGGCCUUGAUCUCUAUGAGCUGCCAGAUCAAUAGUAAAAAUGUAUUGUGGAAGGACCACCAGAGGGCAGGCUGGGCUCACGGAUAGUAGCCCAACAAGGCAUGGGAGACAAGGUAACCAGAGGGCAGGCUGGGCUCACGGAUAGUAGCCCAACAAGGCAUGGGAGACAAGGUAACCAGAGGGCAGGCUGGGCUCACGGAUAGUAGCCCAACAAGGCAUGGGAGACAAGGUAACCAGAGGGCAGGCUGGGCUCACGGAUAGUAGCCCAACAAGGCAUGGGAGACAAGGUAACCGGAGGGCAGGCUGGGCUCACGGAUAGUAGCCCAACAAGGCAUGGGAGACAAGGUAACCAGGGGGCAGGCUGGGCUCACGGAUAGUAGCCCAACAAGGCAUGGGAGACAAGGUAACCAGAGGGCAGGCUGGGCUCACGGAUAGCAGCCCAACAAGGCAUGGGAGACAAGGUAACCAGAGGGCAGGCUGGGCUCAGGGAUAGUAGCCCAACAAGG
ensembl:lncRNA